CCUACGGGUGGCAGCAGUGGGGAAUAUUGGACAAUGGGGGAAACCCUGAUCCAGCAAUGCCGCGUGUGUGAAGAAGGCCUGCGGGUUGUAAAGCACUUUCGGUUGGGAAGAAAAGUUUGGCGCCAAUACCGCCGAACCUUGACGUUACUGACAGAAGAAGCACCGGCUAACUCUGUGCCAGCAGCCGCGGUAAUACAGAGGGUGCAAGCUUUAAGCGGAAUCACCGGGCGUAAAGAGGGCGUAGGUGGGCGAAAUCCCCGGGCGUAACCUGGGAACUGCAUUCGAUACGACAUGGCUAGAGUACGGUAGAGGGAAGUGGAAUUUCCGGUGUAGCGGUGAAAUGCGUAGAUAUCGGAAGGAACACCAAUGGCGAAGGCAGCUUCCUGGACUAAUACUGACACUGAGGCACGAAAGCGUGGGUAGCAAACAGGAUUAGAUACCCGAGUAGUC
rnacentral:rRNA from 1 species